UACGUAGGGUGCAAGCGUUGUCCGGAAUUAUUGGGCGUAAAGAGCUCGUAGGCGGUCUGUCACGUCGGCUGUGAAAACCCGAGGCUCAACCUCGGGCCUGCAGUCGAUACGGGCAAACUAGAGUACUGCAGGGGAGACUGGAAUUCCUGGUGUAGCGGUGGAAUGCGCAGAUAUCAGGAGGAACACCGGUGGCGAAGGCGGGUCUCUGGGCAGUAACUGACGCUGAGAAGCGAAAGCGUGGGGAGCGAACAGG
rnacentral:rRNA from 1 species